GUUUAUUUUUUAAAUAACUUUACUUUCCCUUCUGUAUCCUUGAUUGGUCGUUUAGGUUCGUAAUGGUUUUCUUGUAUGGUAGGUUUAGUCAGUGUGCGUCUUGGAAGAGUGUUGCCAUCGUAUACGCUAAAAGCUGAUUGGCUCCGCCAUCUUUUGCUCAGAUUUCCGGAUUCAUUUGGAAGGGGUAAACAGAUGAUCAGUUGUUUAUUUUGGUUUUUAUUUUUCGUUUACUCUGGUUUAACCUCACUUAACUAGAUAGAUCGAGAAAUAUUAAAUUACUAUUACUAUUAUUCAGGUUGAAAAAUGCCUUCCUCUAAGGUAAAAGGUUGCGAAGUCGAUUGGGGGGAAAAAUAAUGUGAAAAUGAAUUCUUUCCCAAAAGAAUCUGAACGACGGAAAGUGUGGAUUAAAAAUAUAGGGUUAAAACAAGAUCCAAACAAAUAUGCUGUUGUUUGUGAAGAACACUACUUCUGACAUGUGGAAAAAAGUUAGACAAGAUGGCAGCAGAAAAUUAAAAUGCAAUGCUGUACCAACAAUAUUUAGAGAAGAAAGCGAAAGUAUUUAAUUAUUUAUAUUGGUUUUUUGUUUAUUCACCAAUUUAACACCUAUAGAUAUUUGUAUAACAAGAGAGCGAAGUGCACCUUUUCCUCCCAAGAAUAAAGUUUACUAGUUUACUACAGUAAUCAUUCAAGGGAGGAAAAGGCACUUCUCCCAUGUUAUACAUUUUUCCACCUCCCUCAAAUAAGUCAUUUUUUCAUUUUUUAAAUAUUUAUAUAACUGUUGAUUGAAUACAUGAAUCAUAAUUGAAUACAGGAAUUUGUGUAUUCAAUCAACAAUAGAAGUAACAAAAUUUAUUAGAGAACUAAAACUAACAAUUAAGUACAGUAUAACUAUCAAAUUAUUAAUGAGAAAUUUUUAAAUCAAAAUAACAAUUUACUGUUUUUACCAUUUUGCAACAUCUAUAAAUAAAAUUUAACUAUACCUACCUAAUAGAAAACUUACCUAAUAGGAUACUUACCUAAUAGAAAAUAGAGUAAUAGUAUAGGGUGUCAAUAAGUUAUUUCAUCUAUGCUAUGACAUAGUAUGACGUCAACAUCACUUUUACUUUUACUCCCUAGGGAUUAAAAGUACUUUGUUUCCCUAGGGAGAAAAAAAUAUGACUGCUCCCUACAAUGAGGCCAGGAAAUGUAUACUUUGGAUAGAGGUAGGUGGGAAAAUCUGUUUUAUUCAGUUAUUGUGAUUUGUUUCUUACAGACAAUCAGUUUGUUCUAGCACGAGUUUCAAACGGUCUGAAACCAUUAGCGAAUAGUGGACCAGCGCGAGUAGAGGGGAUAGCACUCGUAACUGUAUUAUGUUCUCUCACUGACCAACUGUUUGCUGACUAGUUCGACUGUUUGCUAGAACAAACCUAUUAUUCAAACAAAAUGUCCUCUACGUCAGACUGAUCAGAAUUUUAAAAAUGUGUCAUAUCAAUCAAAUCAAAAAAUUUCAAAAAUUGUUCCUGUAACCAUUUUUAGUGGAAAUAAUAACAGUACUUAUAUUGGAUCAGAGAGCCACCCAAUUCAUUGUUAAAGUAUGAUAAACUAAAAGUUAAACAAUUAGGCAUGCACUUCAUAUUAUAUUUAAUGAAAUAUAACCCACUGGUACUCGUACAAACUUGACGGCAAGCAAAUUCAACAAAUUUUUCCUCAUUUAUUAGUUUUUCACUACCGUUAAGUUUGGAAACAAGCGCUGUUGCCAAAUAAAAACAUAUACAAUCGGAAAAAUGAAAGAAUACCCAUGAACGAUCACAUCAAUCACAUAUUUUGUAUUUGCUGUUUUUUUUUCAUAAAUAAUAAAUGAGAGAGAUAGAUUAUUAAUAAUCUGAAUAUGUGAUUGAUGUGAUCGUUCAUGGGUAUUCUUUCAUUUUUUCGACGGUAUGUAUUUACCACAGCAACUACAGGUGACACUGUUUCUCUUUGUCUUUAAGAGUGUGAAACAAAGAUAACUACAGUGGGAAAAAUAAAGAAUACCCAUGAACGAUCACAUCGAUCACUUAUUUUGUUUCCUAUCUUUUUCUAUAACAAACGUUUAUUAUUUAUAGAAAAAGACAACAAACAUAAAUUAAGUGAUUGAUGUGAUCGUUCAUGGGUAUUCUUUCAUUUUUCCAACUGUAUCUGUAAUAUACGCUGUUAAUUAAAAAAUCGCGAGAGCCAGUAGUGACAAGUCUGUAAACCUUUACUGGAAAUUUGACAUAAAUGUCAAAGUGAAUAAUUUAAAAUUGAAAUUAAAAACAUUAAUCAGAAAAAAUAUUAGUUGGUCAAAGCUGUGGUAUAUAUUUUUAUCUUAAGUAUACUUACGGUUUAAAUACUGAAUUAAGUUUUUUUAAAAUUUUGUAAUAUCUAAUUAUAAUUAGAUAUAAAUCAUCUAAGUGCCAUCUACACGAUAAUUGUGAAUGUAUCUGAAGUAAGAAAUUAAUAUUUCAUUAAGAGAACGUUAAAACAGUUAGCAAAAUUUUUAAAAAAUCGAUUACAAUUUAAUUACUUUUUUGCGUUGUAAAUAUUAAGCGAUAAAAUUAAAUAAUAAAUUUAAAAACUACUGGUGAAAGUUGAAUUAGUAAUCUGCUAGGAGCGACAACAGCGAAGCUCAGAGCGUAUAAGUGGGUGUGUUUGGACGACCAUAGCGGCUGACUGUCAGCAGAAAUCGGCUGAGUGGUUGUAUCCAGCUGUGAUAGGGAAAGCUUAGUAAAUCUCUCAGCGGCUGACUUCCAGCGGUGACGUCUGACAGCUACUGCUGGCUCAGCUGUCCAGCCGCUGUGGUCAACCGAACGCACCCAGUGUCAGUCAUGUUUUCCUAUAGUAUAGAAGGCUUAGAUAGAAGGUUAUGUAAGAUUAUUGUUUGUUUAUUUUUUCUUCUUCUUUUGUGGCCUUUGGAAGCUGUGCCCAUUUAGCCAGCGACAUUUCUUAAAAUGAAUGCCUAACUAAACCUACCAUACAAGAAAACCUAAACGACCAAUCAAGGAUACGGAAGGGAAAGUAAAGUUAUUUAAAAAAUAAACUGUUGUUAAAAUAUAAACUAAAUAAAUAAAAUACAAAUUGAAAACAAUAAUUUGACAUUAUAAAUGUAACCUCCAAUAUUAUGACAGACGUCAGUUACUAUGACAUCAUAUAUUAUACUCGUCACUAAUUCUAGCCAAUGAAAUGCUUGCUGUAAUAGGAAUGGCAUAUCAAAAAAAUCUGACUAUUCUCUAUAUAUUUUUUCAAAUUUAGAAUAUGGCAACAAGGGGAAAGUUAUGUGCAUUCCUCAUUGUUUGACUUUUCCUAUAUCUUUAGUAUCAGGUCAUCGUACAAUACAAAUACUUCCUGCAAUGAUUGGAAGUAAUGCAGAACAAGAAUUGAAUUUGGAAUCGCCGAGAAAAAGGAUUGGUGUACAAAAUAAGAAAGUAUAUAAAGGACAACAAACAUCUUCCAUAAGCGAUCAAAAUUGUAUAACUGAAAUUCAGGAAAUAGAUUCUGCUCCACCUUUAG